UAGUGUACUAGUAUAUGAUCUAAGUGUUAAAAUAACAUUUAUAAGUUUAUAACAAAUGUUUUUUUGCAUAAAUCAUUUUUGUAUAGUGUUAAGAACCGAAAAAUAUUUUUAAAUGGCACCACUGUAUAUAACUGAUAAUAGUAUAAUAACAGUAUUAUCUCUGAAAAACUAACUUGUGUCAAAUGAUUAUUUAUUUUAAAUUAAAGGUAGGAUACUAGAUCUUAAAUCAUUAGUUAACAUCAAGUAGUUUGUGGCUUCUGUAAAAAAAGUGAGUGUGAGAAUUUUUUUUUUUUGUUUUUCUUUGUUGAAUAAUUCAUUAUUUUUGUAUAAUGUAUAAAACAGCUGGACAAUUAUUGGCAGAUUUAGGUCUAAUUUCCAUUCAUCAGUUGUUCAUAGUUCUCUCUGUUGACUUUCCGGCAAAACAUCUCUAAGUAUCUCUAAAUUAAAUUAUUAAUAAUGUUUAAGUUCAACUUUAACGCUGAAGAUUUGGAUGAGUCUAUAUCUAAUGAAAAUGAACAUCAAAUAGUCGAAACAGAAGAGUUAACUAAUCCUAAUACAUUAGCCACUUUGCCAUUUACAGAAUUGUUUGUUGGUGAUAAGUCUUUAAAACUGAUUCAUGAAUUUCCCAAUUCAUACAAUUCAGAUCUCAUUCCUGGUACUUAUGAAGGAGGAUUUAAACUUUGGGAAUGUACUCUUGACCUCUUAGAAUAUCUAAGCAAUAAUACCAUAUAUUGUAGAGAAAAGUCAGUAUUGGAUUUAGGCUGUGGUACUGGCCUUUUGGGUAUUUUUACAUUGCUUUCUGGAGCUCAGAAUGUUGACUUUCAAGAUUUUAAUAAAGAUGUAUUAACUAAUACAACUAUGAGUAAUGUAUUAGUAAAUUGUAAAGAAAGAUUAAAAGUUUGCAAGUACUAUUCAGGUGAUUGGAAAUCAUUUACUACAUUUAAUGAAGAUACAUAUGAUCUAAUUUUGACAUCAGAAACUAUAUAUAAUGUAAACAAUUAUACAAAGCUUAUCAAUUUAUUUGAAAAAAAAUUAAAACUAUCAGGAAGUAUUUUAUUAAUUGCCAAAAAUUAUUAUUUUGGUGUAGGUGGUUCUAUUACUGAGUUUUUAAAUUGCUUAAAAUAUUCUAAACUGAAUGCUGAUGUUGUUUGGACUAGUACAGAUGGAGUAAAAAAAACUUUGCUCAAUAUACAUUUUUAAAGUUUAUGUUUAUAAAUAUUAUAAGAACUAACAUUCAUAUAAUAACAUUGUUUAUGUUAAUUUAUAUUAUAAUAUAAAUAGAAAUUAAUUAAUAUUGUAUUUAUUUAAAUGUUAUAUUAUAUUAUAAUUCAUUAAGAAUUUGUACAAAGCAAAAGUUUUUAUUCACCAAAUAUUUUUUUUAGGUAGAUUUAAAAUUAGUAGUUUCAAGUAUCCCUAUUUAUUAAUUAAAAAAAUAUUCAACUAGGAAAAUUGUUAAUCCUUCACAUUAUCCAUUUAAAUUUCUUAGUCUUUUCCCAUAGUAUAGAGAAAAACAAUGUUAAAUCUUAGUAAAUGUUUUAUUUUAAUUUAUCUUUAUGAACUAAGUUUUAUUGUCAACCCUUUGAAAAAUUGAUUAUUUUAAUUAAUAAUUUAAUUUUAAAAAUUCACAUGUAUAUAAUAUGUAAAGAAGUGAUGCAUUUUGAUUAAGUAUUAAAAAUAAUAUUUUUAUAACAAUAAAUAGUAAUUGAACCAUUAUUUUGAAUAAAUGAAUUAAUGAUUUUAUUUUAUUUUUUAUAUUGUUCAUUGAAACGAUCUCCAAGUCUUUGUCAAUGCUUAAUGCUUAUCACAAGAUGUAUGCGGUCUUCACCCCCAGUGGAGUGGGAAUUAAUUGGAAACCAAAUGGCGCAAUCGGACAACAGCACGGGAAAUUUGUGGUUGCAAGAACCACACCUUUUUUUUACACUUCGCUAUGAAUUGAACUAACGACUGAGAGUCACAAUCAACUGUAUGACCACUGCGCCACUCAGGCCCCUAUAAUUAAUGAUUUUAAAUAAUUUUUUAUAUUUUAAUAAGUUACUUAUCUAAAUAAUCUUAUACAUUAAUAAUAUUUAGGCUAAUGUAUUUUAUAUUUAUAUAGUAUAGAAAUUUAUUCAAUUAAAUGAAAAAUUACAAAAAAGGUUUAAA